rnacentral:rRNA from 1 species
AUUGAACGCUGGCGGCAUGCCUUACACAUGCAAGUCGAACGGCAGCACGGGAGCAAUCCUGGUGGCGAGUGGCGAACGGGUGAGUAAUAUAUCGGAACGUGCCCAGUCGUGGGGGAUAACGCAGCGAAAGCUGUGCUAAUACCGCAUACGAUCUACGGAUGAAAGCGGGGGAUCGCAAGAACUAGCGCGAUUGGAGCGGCCGAUAUCAGAUUAGCCAGUUGGUGAGGUAAAGGCUCACCAAGGCGACGAUCUGUAGCUGGUCUGAGAGGACGACCAGCCACACUGGAACUGAGACACGGUCCAGACUCCUACGGGAGGCAGCAGUGGGGAAUUUUGGACAAUGGGCGAAAGCCUGAUCCAGCAAUGCCGCGUGCAGGAUGAAGGCCUUCGGGUUGUAAACUGCUUUUGUACGGAACGAAACGGUGAGCUCUAAUACAGUUUGCUAAUGACGGUACCGUAAGAACAAGCACCGGCUAACUACGUGCCAGCAGCCGCCGUAA